CUUGAUCCCUGGGAGAAAAUAAGGACACGGAGCCCUGGAGAGCACAGAAUAAAGAUUCACUCCAUCCCGAUGAGCUCCGCCCUCCUGCCCACCUGCCUGAUGGGAAGGGGACCACUCACUUAUCCAGCUUGUGGAUCUGCUCCUCAUUGUAGCUGAGCCCUGAAGGAAACAGAUGGGGAUGGCGUCACCACUCAACUAGUCCGGGAACCAAGUUAAAAAGAUGAAGAACAGCCUAGGGUGGGGACCAUUUUAUGGGAUCUCAGGCCUAGGGGAGCCCGCGGGGAUGAGGAAAUGGAACAUCAAGUAACUAUGACAACACUGCUGUUGUGGACAAAAGACUGAAUAUAAUUUUGGUAAAAAGGAGCUGAGGAGAAAUGCUUUGGGGCUCCAGAGCGAGGCGAAUCUUGCUGGGUGGGCGGGUGUGUGUACGGGAGAUGUUGCAGGUGGGAACGCUGGGUGAGAUGUUAGCGCAGCUUCGGCCCUGCAUCCUCCACCCUCCCCAGCUGGCAGCUGGUUGGCUCCAUCCCUGGAGUCUCUCACAGGUAGGCCACCACCUUCUAACUGUCCCUCUUUGCCCAGCAGCUUUUUUCAGAAGGAACAGCUUUGGGUAGAAGUGCCCGUGCCUAGAUCGAGGCUACUGCCGACGACCUUAAAGCUCUUGCAACGA
ensembl:antisense Gm28914 predicted gene 28914